GUAAUUAUCGUAAACACUGGAAUUGGGUACUAAUUAGCUUAACUAAAACAUAUGGACCGGUAAUAACUAUAUGGAUCGGUCCGAUGCCCAUAGUUUUCAUAUGCGAUCUUAACAAUAGGGAGGCUAUGAAUCAAUGGCAGCUAAGUGGACGGGCAAAAUGCAGCUUAUUAAGCAUUUUAUCUAAUAAUCAUCAAAUGGGUAUAUUAGGCAAUGAAGGUAAACCAGUGGAAAUUAUGCGAAAACUUGUUUUAACAACAAUAAGAAAAUAUGCUAAAAGCGAUGAUUUAAGUCAAUUGUGUGCCAAAAGUGUUAGCAAAAUGUUUGACAAAAUCAUUGCUAAUGAGGGCCUCAAUCAAGCAUUUGAUCCCAAAUGUUAUUUGGAUGAUAUUAUUUAUCUGAUA